GGCGGGCUGUGACGCGGCCGGCGCUCCUCGUGCGGCGGCGGCCGUAUAGGAGCGAGCGCCCGUUCUCGAACGCCAGCAGCCCGCUCGCCUCGGCCGCCCUCGGUUCUCCUCAGCCGCCUCCGGCGCCGUUCGCUCGCCCUCCUCAGCCGCCGCCCUCCGCCCCGCGGAGCGCUCUCAACCGCCGCUCGCCGGCCCUUAGAGCCUCGUCCUCCGGCGCUGCGGGCCGCCCGUCCGGCAUGAAGACCAAGUUCUGUACCGGGGACGAGGCGGAGCCCUCGGCGCUCGGGCUGCUGCUGAGCUGCGGCGGCGGCGGCGGCGGAGGGGCCCCGGCGGCGCCCGGCGCGGGGCAGCCGCAGCGGGACGCGGGCAGCGCGCUCGAGGCCAAGCAGCUGGGGGGCGGCGGGCAGCCGGUGUCCCCGCCGCCCGCGGCCGCCGAGCAGCCCGAGCCCCGCACGCGGCGCAGGGCCUAUCUGUGGUGCAAGGAGUUCCUGCCCGGCGCCUGGCGGGGUCUUCGCGAGGACCAGUUCCACAUCAGUGUCAUCAGGGGCGGCCUCAGUAACAUGCUGUUCCAGUGCUCUCUGCCAGACACCACUGCCAGUGUCAGCGACGAACCCCGCAAAGUGCUGCUGCGCCUGUACGGGGCCAUCUUGCAGAUGAGGUCCUGCAAUAAAGAGGGAUCCGAACAAACUCAGAAGGAAAGUGAAUUUCAAGGUGCUGAAGCGAUGGUCUUGGAGAGUGUCAUGUUUGCCAUUCUUGCCGAGAGGGCGCUUGGCCCAAAGCUGUAUGGCAUCUUCCCCCAAGGCCGCCUGGAGCAGUUCAUCCCGAGCCGGCGAUUAGACACUGAAGAAUUAAGUUUGCCAGAUAUUUCUGCUGAAAUAGCUGAGAAAAUGGCCACAUUUCAUGGUAUGAAAAUGCCAUUCAAUAAGGAACCCAAAUGGCUUUUUGGAACCAUGGAGAAGUACCUGAGUCAGGUACUGAGGGUGAAGUUCACUGAGGAGCCCAAAGCAAGGCAGCUGCAGAAGUUCCUCGCUUACAAUCUGCCCUUGGAGCUUCAGAAGCUGCGGUCACUGCUCGAGUCGACUCCGUCUCCAGUUGUGUUUUGUCAUAAUGACUGCCAAGAAGGAAACAUCCUGCUGCUGGAAGGCCGGGAGCACUUGGAGAAGGAGAAGCUGAUGCUCAUUGACUUUGAGUACAGCAGCUACAACUACAGGGGAUUCGACAUUGGCAAUCACUUCUGUGAGUGGGUGUAUGACUACAGCUCUGAGAAGUACCCAUUUUUCAGAGCGAAUCUUCACAAGUAUCCCACCAGGAAACAACAGCUCCAUUUCAUUUCCAGUUACUUGGCUGCUUUCCAGAGCAACGUUGCAAACCUCAGUAGUGAAGAGAGAGCCGCUGUAGAAGAAGCAAUGUUGGUGGAGAUCAAUAGCAUGGCCACCAAGACCUGCAGCUACCUCCUGUGAAUGUCAUCAUGUGUGCUAUGGCCAGGCAGCUGGGGUGCCCACACCUGCAGGUGCACCUCUCAUUCACCAGAGGUGGGAAGAGACUGGCCGUGGCAUUUCCGGUGUGCUCGGUGCCCGUAGACUAGCCCAUGGAUUGACCGGGGCAGACAGUUUGCAUCCAGAUAAGUUACAGUUUGCUCUUGCGUCCCAUUUCUUCUGGGGCCUCUGGUCCAUUGUACAGGCCAAGAUUUCAUCCAUUGAAUUUGGGUACAUGGAGUACGCCCAGGCCAGGUUUGAUGCCUAUUUCGACCAGAAG